AUACGUAGGAGGCGAGCGUUGUUCGGAAUCACUGGGCUUAAAGAGCGUGUAGGCGGAGUGUCAGGUGUCUUGUGAAAUCCCCGGGCUCAACCCGGGAACUGCUGGGCAAACCGGCACUCUUGAGGCAGGUAGAGGUCAUUGGAACGACUGGUGGAGCGGUGAAAUGCGUAGAUAUCAGUUGGAACGCCGGAGGCGAAAGCGAGUGACUGGGCCUGUUCUGACGCUGAGACGCGAAAGCGUGGGUAGCAAACAGGAUUAGAAACCCGAGUAGUCC
rnacentral:rRNA from 1 species